rnacentral:tRNA from 1 species
AAAUUGUAGGCUUAGCUUAUCCAAAGCGUAACUUUGAAGGUGUUAAGAUGGGUUUCCAGCCUACAAUUGA